UAUAAAGAGAAGAACGGCCACUGAGAGUAACUGUUCCAGUGUGUGACGGUAUCUUACCAGAAAGGAACGGCUAAAUACGUGCCAGCAGCCGCGGUAAUACGUAUGUUCCAAGCGUUAUCCGGAUUUAUUGGGCGUAAAGCGAGCGCAGACGGUUAUUUAAGUCUGAAGUGAAAGCCCUCAGCUCAACUGAGGAAUGGCUUUGGAAACUGGAUGACUUGAGUGCAGUAGAGGAAAGUGGAACUCCAUGUGUAGCGGUGAAAUGCGUAGAUAUAUGGAAGAACACCAGUGGCGAAGGCGGCUUUCUGGACUGUAACUGACGUUGAGGCUCGAAAGUGUGGGUAGCAAACAGGAUUAGAUACCCUGGUAGUCCACACCGUAAACGAUGAGUGCUAGAUGUUCGAGGGUUUCCGCCCUUGAGUGUCGCAGCUAACGCAUUAAGCACUCCGCCUGGGGAGUACGACCGCAAGGUUGAAACUCAAAGGAAUUGACGGGGACCCGCACAAGCGGUGGAGCAUGUGGUUUAAUUCGAAGCAACGCGAAGAACCUUACCAGGUCUUGACAUCCCUUGCUAAUCCUAGAAAUAGGACGUUCCCUUCGGGGACAAGGUGACAGGUGGUGCAUGGUUGUCGUCAGCUCGUGUCGUGAGAUGUUGGGUUAAGUCCCGCAACGAGCGCAACCCUUAUUAUUAGUUGCCAGCAUUCAGUUGGGCACUCUAGUGAGACUGCCGGUGACAAACCGGAGGAAGGUGGGGAUGACGUCAAAUCAUCAUGCCCCUUAUGACCUGGGCUACACACGUGCUACAAUGGCAUAUACAACGAGUCGCCAACCCGCGAGGGUGCGCUAAUCUCUUAAAGUAUGUCUCAGUUCGGAUUGUAGGCUGCAACUCGCCUACAUGAAGUCGGAAUCGCUAGUAAUCGCGGAUCAGCACGCCGCGGUGAAUACGUUCCCGGGUCUUGUACACACCGCCCGUCACACCAUGAGAGUUUGUAACACCCAAAGCCGGUGGGGUAACCUUUAGGAGCCAGCCGUCUAAGUGGACAGAGAUGGGAA
rnacentral:rRNA from 1 species